rnacentral:ncRNA from 1 species
UAAAGGUUUGGUUCUGGCCUAUAACAUGGCGAUAACUCUGAUAUAUAUAUAGUACUUUUUGGACGAGGUAAGUAAAUAGAAAUAGCCAUAGUUAUUAAAUAAUUAAUUUAGUAUAUUAAGUUGUUUUAUGAGAUAAUUUUAAAAAUAUAAAAUCUAGUAAUUUAUUACUAACCUAGUAUUGAAAUUUAAAUUUUUAAAAGCAAAAGCUUGAUUUAGUUAAGUUAUGAAAGUCUGGCUAAUAUUAGUGCCAGCAGCCGCGGUCAGACUAAAGAAUUUAGUCAUGUAUAAUAGGUUAAGGUAGUUAAGUGAUGAUAUAAUAUAAAAUAAAUAUAUAGAGGUGAAAUUUGAUUAUGUUUAAUUCUUGCUAUGGCAUUAUAAUACUGAAGCUACGAAAUUUUUGGCUAAAACUAGGAUUAGAUACCCUACUAUUCCUAAAUGUAAUUUUGUAAACACCAGGGGACUACGAGCUAUUGCUUAAAACUUAAAGAACUUGGCGGCAUUUUUUAACCAAUUAGGGGAACCUGUCUCUUAAUCGAUAGCCCGCGUUAGACCUUACCUAUGACUUGAAAGAAUCAGCUUGUAUACCGUCGUCUAUUGCUAACUUUUGUAAAAAAAGAAAAGUUAACGAAAAUAAAGUUAAAGUAAUUUUUUAUGUCAGAUCAAGGUGCAACUUAUGUCUGGGGGAGGAUGGGUUACAAUUAAAAAUUAUAGCAGAUAGCUAUAUAUGUUGAAAUAACUAGUUUUGAAGAUGGACUUAAAAGUAAUAAUAGAAUUAUAAAAAUUUUAUGAAUUUGGGUCUAAAAUGUGUACAUAUCGCCCGUUCGCUCUCGUCGAAAGAAGAGAUAAGUCGUAACAAAGUAAGGGUAACGGAAGUUGCCCUUAG